UACGAAGGGGGCUAGCGUUGUUCGGAAUUACUGGGCGUAAAGCGCACGUAGGCGGAUUUGUUAGUCAGGGGUGAAAUCCCGGGGCUCAACCUCGGAACUGCCUUUGAUACUGCAAGUCUCGAGUCCGGAAGAGGUGGGUGGAAUUCCUAGUGUAGAGGUGAAAUUCGUAGAUAUUAGGAAGAACACCAGUGGCGAAGGCGGCCCACUGGUCCGGUACUGGCGCUGAGGUGCGAAAGCGUGGGGAGCAAACAGG
rnacentral:rRNA from 1 species